rfam:Danio rerio chromosome 4, GRCz11 reference primary assembly.
GCAUUGGUGGUUCAGUGGUAGAAUUCUUGCCUCCCACGCAGGAGACCCGGGUCCGAUUCCCGGCCAAUGCA